rnacentral:rRNA from 1 species
CAGGACGAACGCUGGCGGCGUGCCUAACACAUGCAAGUCGAGCGAUGAAACCCUCGGGGUGGAUAGCGGCGGACGGGUGAGUAACACGUGGGUAACCUGCCUCGAAAGAGGGGGAUAGCCUCCCGAAAGGGAGAUUAAUACCGCAUAACAUUAUUUCUUCGCAUGAAGAGAUAAUCAAAGGAGUAAUCCGCUUUGAGAUGGACCCGCGGCGCAUUAGCUAGUUGGUGAGGUAACGGCUCACCAAGGCAACGAUGCGUAGCCGACCUGAGAGGGUGAUCGGCCACAUUGGAACUGAGAUACGGUCCAGACUCCUACGGGAGGCAGCAGUGGGGAAUAUUGCGCAAUGGGGGAAACCCUGAACCGCAGCAACGCCGCGUGGGUGAAGAAGGCCUUCGGGUUGUAAAGCUCUGUCUUCUGGGACGAUAAUGACGGUACCAGAGGAGGAAGCCACGGCUAACUACGUGCCAGCCGCCGC